UGCAGUCGACGAGUUCUCGUUGAUGAUCGGUGCUUGCACCGAGAUUCAACAUGGAACGAGUGGCGGACGGGUGAGUAACACGUGGGUAACCUGCCCUUAAGUGGGGGAUAACAUUUGGAAACAGAUGCUAAUACCGCAUAGAUCCAAGAACCGCAUGGUUCUUGGCUGAAAGAUGGCGUAAGCUAUCGCUUUUGGAUGGACCCGCGGCGUAUUAGCUAGUUGGUGAGGUAAUGGCUCACCAAGGCGAUGAUACGUAGCCGAACUGAGAGGUUGAUCGGCCACAUUGGGACUGAGACACGGCCCAAACUCCUACGGGAGGCAGCAGUAGGGAAUCUUCCACAAUGGACGCAAGUCUGAUGGAGCAACGCCGCGUGAGUGAAGAAGGCUUUCGGGUCGUAAAACUCUGUUGUUGGAGAAGAAUGGUCGGCAGAGUAACUGUUGUCGGCGUGACGGUAUCCAACCAGAAAGCCACGGCUAACUACGUGCCAGCAGCCGCGGUAAUACGUAGGUGGCAAGCGUUAUCCGGAUUUAUUGGGCGUAAAGCGAGCGCAGGCGGUUUUUUAAGUCUGAUGUGAAAGCCCUCGGCUUAACCGAGGAAGCGCAUCGGAAACUGGGAAACUUGAGUGCAGAAGAGGACAGUGGAACUCCAUGUGUAGCGGUGAAAUGCGUAGAUAUAUGGAAGAACACCAGUGGCGAAGGCGGCUGUCUGGUCUGUAACUGACGCUGA
rnacentral:rRNA from 1 species